rnacentral:rRNA from 1 species
GAUCCUGGCUCAGGAUGAACGCUGGCGGCGUGCCUAACACAUGCAAGUCGAACGAAGCAAUCAGGAGGAAGUUUUCGGAUGGAAUCCUGGUUGACUGAGUGGCGGACGGGUGAGUAACGCGUGGAUAACCUGCCUCACACUGGGGGAUAACAGUUAGAAAUGGCUGCUAAUACCGCAUAAGCGCACAGUACCGCAUGGUACGGUGUGAAAAACCCAGGUGGUGUGAGAUGGAUCCG